rnacentral:rRNA from 1 species
UACAGAGGUCCCGAGCGUUGUUCGGAUUCACUGGGCGUAAAGGGUGCGUAGGUGGUGAGGUAAGUCGGAUGUGAAAUCUCCGAGCUCAACUCGGAAAUGGCAUUGGAAACUACCUUGCUCGAGGGUUGGAGGGGGGACUGGAAUACUUGGUGUAGCAGUGAAAUGCGUAGAUAUCGAGUGGAACACCAGUGGCGAAGGCGAGUCCCUGGACAACUCCUGACACUGAGGCACGAAAGCUAGGGGAGCAAACAGG